rnacentral:rRNA from 1 species
AGUGAACGCUGGCGGUAGGCCUAACACAUGCAAGUCGAACUGCAGCACAGUAAGAGCUUGCUCUUACGGGUGGCGAGUGGCGGACGGGUGAGGAAUACAUCGGAAUCUACUUUUUCGUGGGGGAUAACGUAGGGAAACUUACGCUAAUACCGCAUACGACCUACGGGUGAAAGCAGGGGAUCUUCUGACCUUGCGCGAUUGAAUGAGCCGAUGUCGGAUUAGCUAGUUGGCGGGGUAAAGGCCCACCAAGGCGACGAUCCGUAGCUGGUCUGAGAGGAUGAUCAGCCACACUGGAAGUGAGACACGGUCCAGACUCCUACGGGAGGCAGCAGUGGGGAAUAUUGGACAAUGGGCGCAAGCCUGAUCCAGCCAUACCGCGUGGGUGAAGAAGGCCUUCGGGUUGUAAAGCCCUUUUGUUGGGAAAGAAAAGCAGCAGGUUAAUACGCCGCUGUUCUGACGGUACCCAAAGAAUAAGCACCGGCUAACUUCGUG